GAUGAACGCUAGCGGGAGGCCUAACACAUGCAAGCCGAGCGGUAUUUGUUCUUCGGAACAGAGAGAGCGGCGCACGGGUGCGGAACACGUGUGCAACCUGCCUUUAUCUGGGGGAUAGCCUUUCGAAAGGAAGAUUAAUACCCCAUAAUAUAUUGAGUGGCAUCACUUGAUAUUGAAAACUCCGGUGGAUAGAGAUGGGCACGCGCAAGAUUAGAUAGUUGGUGAGGUAACGGCUCACCAAGUCAAUGAUCUUUAGGGGGCCUGAGAGGGUGAUCCCCCACACUGGUACUGAGACACGGACCAGACUCCUACGGGAGGCAGCAGUGAGGAAUAUUGGACAAUGGGUUAGCGCCUGAUCCAGCCAUCCCGCGUGAAGGACGACGGCCCUAUGGGUUGUAAACUUCUUUUGUAUAGGGAUAAACCUACUCUCGUGAGAGUAGCUGAAGGUACUAUACGAAUAAGCACCGGCUAACGCCGUG
rnacentral:rRNA from 1 species